rnacentral:rRNA from 1 species
AAAGCGUACGCAGGCGGAUUUGUAGGUAUCUUGUGAAAUCCCACGGCUCAACCGUGGAACUGCAGGGUAAACCACAAAUCUUGAGACAAGUAGGGGUCAGUGGAACUAUGAGUGGAGCGGUGAAAUGCGUAGAUAUUCAUGGGAACGCCAAUGGCGAAGGCAACUGACUGGGCUUGUUCUGACGCUCAGGUACGAAAGCGUGGGUAGCGAACGGGAUUAGAUACCCCGGUAGUCCACGCCGUAAACGAUGCACACUAGGUCGCGGUACCUCCCAUGGUUUCGCGGCCGAAGGUAAACUGAUUAGUGUGCCGCCUGGGGAGUACGGUCGCAAGGCUAAAACUCAAAGGAAUUGACGGGGGCUCACACAAGCGGUGGAGCAUGUUGCUUAAUUCGAGGCAACGCGAAGAACCUUACCUAGACUUGACAUGUAUGGAUUAACUCCUGGAAACAGGAGCAACGCCCUUGGGUGGAACAUACACAGGUGCUGCAUGGCUGUCGUCAGCUCGUGCUGUGAAGUGUCGGGUUAAGUCCCUUAACGAGCGCAACCCCUAUCGUUAGUUACUAACGCGUCAUGGCGAGGACUCUAGCGAGACUGCCGGUGUCAAACCGGAGGAAGGUGGGGAUGACGUCAAGUCCUCAUGGCCCUUAUGUCUAGGGAUGCAAACGUGCUACAAUGGUAUGGACAAAGCGAUGCAAUACCGCGAGGUGGAGCAAAUCGCAAAAACCAUGCCCCAGUUCGGAUAGCAGGCUGAAAUUCGCCUGCUUGAAGCCGGAAUCGCUAGUAAUCGCGUAUCAGCUACGACGCGGUGAAUACGUUCCUGAGCCUUGUACACACCGCCCGUCACGUCANGAAGCUGUUAGUGCCCG